CUCUAAUCCGUGUGUUGCAUGGUGUAAAGGCUAGCAUACUUCCAAAGAAAUAGCCGGCUAGGCAUGCCGCUUUAGGUGUGGACAUUCUUGAGGAGAUGGCUUUUGGGAUGACCUAAAUUUAAUAUGGAGAUUCCUCUUGAAUCACCAAGCUUGAUUUUUAAUGUAUUGAUUUCAUUGAUUUAUUGUGGACCUAAUUACCUAACUGAUUACGGCUAUUUAAUUAAUCGUUAAAAUAUGGACUUUAAAUAAAUGAUAUUGGACCUCUCUUUAUUACCCUACGAUUACGAUAUUACGGUCAUGUCC
rnacentral:lncRNA from 1 species